AUUGAACGCUGGCGGCAGGCUCAACACAUGCAAGUCGAGCGGGGGAAGGUAGCUUGCUACUGGACCUAGCGGCGGACGGGUGAGUAAUGCUUAGGAAUCUGCCUAUUAGUGGGGGACAACAUCUCGAAAGGGAUGCUAAUACCGCAUACGUCCUACGGGAGAAAGCAGGGGAUCUUCGGACCUUGCGCUAAUAGAUGAGCCUAAGUCGGAUUAGCUAGUUGGUGGGGUAAAGGCCUACCAAGGCGACGAUCUGUAGCGGGUCUGAGAGGAUGAGCCGCGGCACUGGGACUGAGACACGGCCCAGACUCCUACGGGAGGCAGCAGUGGGGAAUAUUGGACAAUGGGGGGAACCCUGAUCCAGCCAUGCCGCGUGUGUGAAGAAGGCCUUAUGGUUGUAAAGCACUUUAAGCGAGGAGGAGGCUACUUUAGUUAAUACCUAGAGAUAGUGGACGUUACUCGCAGAAUAAGCACCGGCUAACUCUGUGCCAGCAGCCGCCGUAA
rnacentral:rRNA from 1 species